GUUGCAAAAAUUUUGAUUUUAGAAAAUAAUUUACGGGCAGUGUAUAUUUUGGAUACGAUUCACUUACUACUGAUUACAAAAUACAUCGUAAUCAAAUAAAAAUGAUACACAUACAAAUAUAUUCUCACUCAAAACAUGCUCUUAAUAGCACUAAAAUAAUUAUACCAUAUAUAUAUACAUAUUUAACACAAUUCACUAAUAAUAAUCACUAUAUCCAAAACAAAUUUAUUUACGCUAAUAAAAUUAUUCAACUCAUCAUUCA
rnacentral:lncRNA from 1 species